rnacentral:tRNA from 1 species
GGAAGUGCGCAGGGCACUGGUGGCCCUCCUGGACUUCAAAUCCAGUGGUACUGGCUAAAACCCGGUACGGUGGGUUCGAUUCCCAUGCACUUCCGCCA